UACAGAGGGGGCAAGCGUUAUUCGGAAUUAUUGGGCGUAAAGGGCGCGUAGGCGGCCAACUAAGUCGGAUGUGAAAUCCCCAGGCUUAACCUGGGAACUGCAUCCGAUACUGGAUGGCUUGAAUCCGGGAGAGGGAUGCAGAAUUCCAGGUGUAGCGGUGAAAUGCGUAGAUAUCUGGAGGAAUACCGGUGGCGAAGGCGGCAUCCUGGACCGGCAUUGACGCUGAGGAGCGAAAGCUAGGGGAGCAAACGGG
rnacentral:rRNA from 1 species